rnacentral:rRNA from 1 species
GUAGGGAAUAUUGGGCAAUGGAUGCAAGUCUGACCCAGCCAUGCCGCGUGCCGGAUGAAGGCGCUCAGCGUUGUAAACGGCUUUUAUUCGGGAAGAAGAGCAGGGAUGCGUCCCUGUGUGACGGUACCGAAUGAAUAAGCACCGGCUAACUCCGUGCCAGCAGCCGCGGUAAUACGGAGGGUGCGAGCGUUGUCCGGAUUUAUUGGGUUUAAAGGGUGCGUAGGUGGCCAAAUAAGUCAGUGGUGAAAUACGGUUGCUCAACAAUCGAGGUGCCAUUGAUACUGCUUGGCUUGAAAUAAUUGGAGGCUGCCGGAAUGGAUGGUGUAGCGGUGAAAUGCAUAGAUAUCAUCCAGAACACCGAUUGCGAAGGCAGGUGGCUACGAUUUAUUUGACACUGAGGCACGAAAGCAUGGGGAGCAAACAGGAUUAGAUACCCUUGUAGUCC